AUAAGAUAUCAAGGGCAACAGGUGAAUGCCUUGGCGCUGAGAGGCGAUGAAAGACGCGGUAAGCUGCGAUAAGCAUCGGGGAGGAGCUAAACAUCCUACGAUCCGAUGAUUUCUGAAUGGGGAAACCCGAUGGGAGUCAUGUCCCAUCAUCCUGAGCUGAAUAUAUAGGCCCAGAGAAGCCAACCCGGGGAAGUGAAACAUCUCAGUACCCGGAGGAAGAGAAAUCAAACGAGACUCCCAAAGUAGCGGCGAGCGAAAUGGGAAGAGCCCAAACCGGGUGGUUUCGACCAUUCGGGGUUGUAGGGCCGGCAUACGCGAUUCUGGAGUAGGCAGAGGAAGUGAGCUGGAAAGCUCCGCCACAGCGGGUGAUAGCCCCGUACUCGAAACCGAAAAGGACGCAGCCGGUACCUGAGUACUGCGAGGCACGUGGAACCUCGUGGGAAUCUAGGGGGACCAUCCUCUAAGGCUAAGUACUCCUCAGUGACCGAUAGUGAACUAGUACCGUGAGGGAAAGGUGAAAAGAACCCCUGUUAGGGGAGUGAAAUAGAAUCUGAAACCUGUUGCCUACAAGCUGCGAGAGCUGCUUUUUGCAGUGAUCGCGUGCCUUUUGUAUAAUGAGUCAGCGAGUUACUCUACCGUGCGAGGUUAAGCGAAAGCGUAGCCGUAGUGAAAGCGAGGCUUAAUAGGCCGACUAGUACGUUGGAGUAGACCCGAAACCGGGUGAUCUAUCCAUGAGCAGGUUGAAGCAAGGGUAAAGCCUUGUGGAGGACCGAACCGUCAACGGCUGAAAACGUUCCGGAUGACUUGUGGAUAGGGGUGAAAGGUCAAUCAAACCCGGUGAUAGCUGGUUCUCCCCGAAAUAUAUUGAGGUAUAGCCUCGGGAAUUGAUUAGCGGAGGUAAAGCACUGACAGAGCUAGGGGUCCUACCAGAUUACCAAACUCUAUCAAACUCAGAAUGCCGCUUAAUCGUAUCCCGGGAGUCAGACGGCGGGUGCGAAGGUUCGUCGUCAAAAGGGAAACAGCCCAGACCAACAGCUAAGGUCUCCAAAUCCAUGCUCAGUGGUGAAGGUAGUGGAACCGUUUAGACAGCCAGGACGUUGGCUUAGAAGCAGCCAUCGUUUAAAGAAAGCGUAAUAGCUCACUGGUCUAAUGGCUCUGCGCCGAAAAUGUAACGGGGCUAAGCAUGGUACCGAAGCUUUGGCAAUCUCCUUUGGAGAUUGGGUAGGGGAGCGUUCGCUGCGGGCUGAAGGUGUGCCGGAAGGCAUGCUGGACUGCAGUGAAGUGAUUAUGCUGACAUGAGUAACGAUAAAAUAUGUGAAAAACAUAUUCGCCGAAAACCCGAGGUUUCCUGGGUAAAGGUAAUCUUCCCAGGGUUAGUCGGAUCCUAAGGUGAGGGUGAAAGCCGUAACCGAUGGAAAACAGGUUAAUAUUCCUGUACUUGUUGUGUAGCGCGAUGGAGGGACGCAGGAAGAUAGGCGGGCCGGGUGUUGGAUAUCCCGGUGCAAGCGUGUAGGAAUAUCCGGUAGGCAAAUCCGCCGGACGAAUCUGAGACGCGAGUCCGUGGGCGCAAGCCCUGAAGCCGUUGAGUCUAUGCUGCCUAGAAAAGCUCCUAAGUUUAUCCACAGCAAUCCGUACCGCAAACCAACUCAGGUGGGUGGGAUGAACAAUCCAAGGCGCUCGAGAGAACUCUGGCCAAGGAACUCGGCAAAAUAACCCCGUAACUUCGGAAGAAGGGGUGCUCUCUAGGGUGACAUGUUUAACAUAUGAAGCCCCGGGGAGCCGCAGUGAAUUGGUGGUGGCGACUGUUUACUAAAAACAUAGGUCUGUGCGAAGUCCUAAAGACGACGUAUACGGACUGACGCCUGCCCGGUGCUGGAAGGUUAAAAGGAGGGGUCAGCGCAAGCAAAGCUCCGAAUUGAAGCCCCAGUAAACGGCGGCCGUAACUAUAACGGUCCUAAGGUAGCGAAAUUCCUUGUC
rnacentral:rRNA from 1 species